UACGGGGGGCAAGCGUUGUUCGGAAUUACUGGCGUAAAGGGCUCGUAGGUGGCCAACUAAGUCAUACGUGAAAUCCCUCGGCUUAACCGGGGAACUGCGUCUGAUACUGGAUGGCUUGAGGUUGGGAGAGGGAUGCGGAAUUCCAGGUGUAGCGGUGAAAUGCGUAGAUAUCUGGAGGAACACCGGUGGCGAAGGCGGCAUCCUGGACCAAUUCUGACACUGAGGAGCGAAAGCCAGGGAGC
rnacentral:rRNA from 1 species